rnacentral:rRNA from 1 species
UGGGGAAUAUUGCACAAUGGGCGAAAGCCUGAUGCAGCGACCCCGCGUGAGGGAUGACGGCCUUCGGGUUGUAAACCUCUUUCAGUAGGGACGAAGCGCAAGUGACGGUACCUGCAGAAGAAGCACCGGCUAACUACGUGCCAGCAGCCGCGGUAAUACGUAGGGUGCGAGCGUUGUCCGGAAUUACUGGGCGUAAAGAGCUCGUAGGCGGUUUGUCACGUCGUCUGUGAAAUCCUAGGGCUUAACCCUGGACGUGCAGGCGAUACGGGCUGACUUGAGUACUACAGGGGAGACUGGAAUUUCUGGUGUAGCGGUGGAAUGCACAGAUAUCAGGAAGAACACCGAUGGCGAAGGCAGGUCUCUGGGUAGUAACUGACGCUGAGGAGCGAAAGCAUGGGUAGCGAACAGG